GCCAUGGCAAGAUCAGAGGGAGAGCAUUUCAAGCAGAGGAACAGUGAGCAUGCGGGCCUGUUUCCCAGACUGGCGGACAGCAGUGUGACUAGGCAAGGGAGCCAGGGAAGCGUGGCCAGGCUGUGAGGUGGAGAGGACAGAGGGGGCUGCAGGGCUGUAGGCCGUGGCAAAAAGGGUAAAGAUUUUGUUCCAGGUGAGGUAGAAGACACGGUUGGGAUUCCUUGGUCUCAUCACUCUCAUGCCCCUGAGUGUUUGCUUUGCCAGGAAUAUACACUUCUACCUGCCUCCUCAAAUGGUCUAAUAAUAGUAAGGAUCACCUGGGACCCUGGGUUAGGCAUGCAGAUGCUGACCCUGGACCUGCUGAACCAAACUCUUAGGGGAAUGCUGGUGAAUCUGUAUUGUAAUGGAUGCCCCGGGAGAACUCUUUUCGGCAGCGUUUCAUAAGCUCUCAUCUGGAUCAAGCAGCUUAGAGGGAGUGGGGUGGCACCAGACUUGGCCUUUGAGAAUUGGCCCUGGAGUGUAACUGCCAGAGAAGCAGUUUGCCUUCUAAAAAAAUUACUACUGGGAGUCAGUGAAAUUAAAAGACAGGCUUAUUUCAGACUUUGACAAACUGAAUAUAGGUGUCUCUUUGGACCUGCACAGUAAAAGGGCAAGUGCCAGAGAGGCAACCGGGAUGGAGGGCCUGGAAGCUAAGGUGCUAUGAAGGCUUCACAAACAGACACAUGUACAUGAGGGAGGUGGGUGGGGACUGGAAAUCGACAGGCCCAGCAAGGCCAUUUUUUUUCUCCAAGAGGAGAUCUGUGGGAGGGCCCGACUCCCUUGAGGUGAAGGAGCUUGGAUCUGUGCCUCCCCACUUGAUCCAUGGCAAUGGUAGCACCUACCACAUAGGACGGUUGCAAGGGUCACACAGAACAAGCAUUAGCAGUUGCAGGGGUGUGUGGAAGAAAGAAUCUUCCUACCCUUGAGCUGUUCAGCAAAAACAGGGCCUCCCCACAAAGUGGGGGAUUACUGUCUGACCCUGCCAGCCCUAGAAGUGUCUGAGUAAAGAGGAAAGCACAUGUAUUUGAGUACCUGUAUUAUGAAAUCCAGUGCUGGGUGCUGAGUCUAGUUCUCAGGUAGAGGGGGCAAUGCCCUGAGUUGCUUCUGCGCAGGGAGCUCUCCAUGGUGCUAAACAAGUGUCUGUAGCCACCAGUGCCAGGCCAGCAGGCUGGCUGAGCGCUCUGGUUAGUCCAUCCAUUUUUCUUCUAUGUAUUUCUUCAAACCAGCCUUCCUGGACCUCUGCAACAUCUUACUAUGAAGUGUGCGUGGUGAUUUGUGCAUAGAUACGUAUUGUCUGCUUUUCUCUGCUUCAAAGUGUAAUGCGUGUUCAUUAUGGAUGGUCUGAAUCCGUAUCAACUCUCAGAGGCAAAGAGAUUUGGCCCCGGCUUGGUGGAGGUUGGUGGUGUGGCUCCCACGGGCAUUGGCUCACGUUGUCUGCUUUCUCUCAGGCGGAUCUGUGCACGGGACUGCAGGGCUUCCUCAUCUUCCACAGCUUUGGGGGCGGCACCGGCUCUGGGUUCGUGUCUCUGCUCAUGGAAUGGCUCUCGGUGGACUACAGGAAGAAGUCCAAGCUGGAGUUUGCCAUUUACCCAGCCCCCAGGUCUCCACGGCCAUGACCCAGCCCUACAACUCCAUCCUGACCACCUACGCGACCCUGGAACAUUCUGACUGUGCCUUCACAGUCAACAGCAAAGCCACCUAUGACAUGUCGGUACAACCUGGACAUCGAGUGUCCCAGGUACACCAACCUCAGUCGUCUGAUUGGGCAGAUCGUGUCCUCCAUCAUGGCCUCCCUGUGAUUCAAUGGGGCCCUGAAUGUGUACUUGACAGAAUUCCAAACCAACUUGGUGCCGUACCCCCACAUCCACCUCCCCUUGGCCACCUACGCCCUGAUCAUCUCAGCCGAGAAGGUCUACCACAAGCAGCUGUCCGUGGCCGAGAUCGCCAGUGCCCGCUUCGAGCCAGCCAAUCAGAUGGCCAAAUGUGACCCUCGCCAUGGCAAGUACACAGCCUGCUGCAUGUUGUACAGAGGGGAUGUGGUCCUGAAAGAUGUCAGUGCGGCUGUCGCCACCAUCAAGAGCAAGCACACCAACCAGUUUGUGGACUGGUGUCUGAUUGGAUUUAAGGUGGGCAUUAACUAUCAGCCCCCCACGGUGGUCCCUGUGAGAGACCUGGCCAAAGUGCGGCGGGCGGUGUGCAUGCUGAGCAACACCACGGCUCAGCAUGCACAGCUCUGCCAAAAGGCAGAGGAAACUGCUUUUCUUCUCGAGGCCUCCGUUGCCUCGUCUGUGCCCGGGCGGUGGUGCUUACCCGGCGGGGUCGCAGGGAGGUCUCGUGGCGGCGUGUGUUGGAUCAUGGAGGCCUGGGCCUGCCUGGACCGUAAGUUCGGCUAAGUGCGCCUUAGCGCACCGGUACGUGGGGGAGGGCAUGGCAGUGGGGGAAUUCUCCGAGGCCCGCGAGGAUCUGGCAGCUCUGGAGGAUUAUGAAGAGGUGGGCAUAGAUGCCGUGGAAGCUGAGGCUGAAGAAGGCGAAGAAUAGUGAGGGGAGGGUGCGGCAGGCAACCAUCCCUCUGUAUUCCCCACCAUAACGCUAGGAGAGCU